rnacentral:rRNA from 1 species
UUAGAUACCCUAUUAUACUAGUAAUAGCCCAGAUUAUUAAUAGAUAUAUUCUCAAAAUUUGAAGAAUUUGGCGGUGAUUUAGUCUUGUUAGAGGAACCUGUUUUUGAAUCGAUACACCACGUUAAAUCUUACUUAUCUUAAAAGUUUAUAUACCGUCAUUCUCAGAUAAUUUUCUGAAAAUUAAUUAUUGAAUUUUAUAAUUUAAAAUAAAUUAAAUUAGAUCAAGGUGUAGCUAAUAUAUAAGUUAAAAUGGGUUACAAUAAAUUUUAUUUAAUACGAAUCAGCUGAGGGAAGAAAAUUGCUGGUGAAGGGGGAUUUAAUUGUAAUUAAAGUUUAAUAAGCUUAAAAGAUAUAAGCUCUAAAUCAUGUACAUAUCG